CUUGACCAUUCACAAAACUACACGUGAGAAGGUGGAGGACUUCGGUCAGAGAGAGGUGUCAGCAGGGCGGAGAGGAAACAUCGAGAUAUGUCGGUCGGUUCGUCCUGGUAUGGAAAAUAAAUCAACCAAUCUUUGGCCCUCUCUGAGAUGGGAACUUCAGGCGGGAAGACGAGGGUUUCCUUCCAGUUCAUCACCUUCCUGUAUGUCUCCUGUGGCGUCUCGGAGCAGAAUGGCAGAUGUAUACUUACCGAUGAGCAUUUCAUACAUGAUGACACCCAGAGACCACCAGUCACACAGCUUGUUGUAUCCCGUCUGCAUGAAGACUUCAGGAGCAAUGUAGUCUGGUGUUCCCACAGUAGAAUAAGCCUGAGAGUCACACAGAACAAUAAAAGACAGCUAGGAAAUGUGGGUCCUCGAGUCUCACCCUGGAGUCCAGCAGCAGGUUGUCAGGUUUGAUGUCUCUGUGGAUGAAGCCCAGCUGGUGGAUGGAGUCGAUGGCCAGAACUGUCUCUGCGAUGUAGAACUGGGUUGCCUCUUCGGACAGUGUGUCCUUCUUCAUCAGCAGGGUCAUCAUGUCACCUGGAAACAAGAUGCAGAAAUAAUAAGAGAAUGCAUGCAUGACUGGAGUGACGGACACAAUGUUUGAAGGCAAACAAAAAUAGGAAAUCAAGGCCAGAAAGUGACACCAUCGUCCCUGACGUCGGGAAGAGCAAAGACUUCUUCUCCAAGCAGUAAAUGUGAUUUAAGUCGAUGCCA